ACCGGUGGGCGGUGCUUUGAACCGAGGGCCUUGACUCACGGUCGCCUUGACCUCGGGGAGCCAGUGGCGAGACCGACGUCCUUGUGA
rnacentral:ncRNA from 1 species